rnacentral:rRNA from 1 species
UAAUACGAAGGGGGCUAGCGUUGCUCGGAAUUACUGGGCGUAAAGGGCGCGUAGGCGGCUUACACAGUCAGGCGUGAAAUUCCUGGGCUUAACCUGGGGGCUGCGUUUGAUACUUGUAGGCUAGAGGAUGGAAGAGGGUCGUGGAAUUCCCAGUGUAGAGGUGAAAUUCGUAGAUAUUGGGAAGAACACCGGUGGCGAAGGCGGCGACCUGGUCCAUUACUGACGCUGAGGCGCGACAGCGUGGGGAGCAAACAGGAUUAGAUACCCUGGUAGUCCACGCCGUAAACGAUGUGCGCUGGAUGUUGGGGCCCCUAGGGCUUCAGUGUCGUAGCUAACGCGGUAAGCGCACCGCCUGGGGAGUACGGCCGCAAGGUUG